rnacentral:rRNA from 1 species
UACGUAUGGUGCAAGCGUUAUCCGGAUUUACUGGGCGUAAAGGGAGCGCAGGCGGUGCGCCAAGUCUGAUGUGAAACCCCGGGGCUCAACCCCGGGCAUGCAUUGGAAACUGGCGGGCUGGAGUGCCGGAGAGGUAAGCGGAAUUCCUGGUGUAGCGGUGAAAUGCGUAGAUAUUAGGAGGAACACCAGUGGCGAAGGCGGCUUACUGGACGGCAACUGACGCUGAGGCUCGAAAGCGUGGGGAGCAAACAGG